rnacentral:lncRNA from 13 species
GCAUUGGCAUCUAAUGUUCAAUGGUGGGGGCUAUAGUUUUCUUGCUUUUCUAACAGAUCAGCUCCUAUAAGAUUGGCAGUUAGCCUGGUUCCCGAGCCUAUCUAAUGAUUUUUUUAGGCUACUCAAUAUAUUUUCAGUAAACUCUCUUAGUAAACCAGAGUCAUAUUUUGUUGCUUGCAAUAUAGAACCUGGACUGAUGCAGUAAUAAUAAUCACUACUUUAUUUUAUUGAGUUAUUGAUAAAUCUAUUACAUGGACUUAACUUUCCAAAUGUAACAGAAAAUAUAUGAUUUAUAAAUCUGAAAAGGCAGCCAGUAUGUGAUAUAAUUGACUAGUCUAAAAAGACAAAGAUUGCAAAAUAAGUCACAUUUGUUUAUCUUCUGUUCAGGUUUCCACAUAUGAAUAUCUGACACUCUCACUGUUCCAGAAGGACAGCAUGCAGUAACGGCUAACACAUUCCAUCUGGUUGUAAACUACAUCAUCAUUCCUCAAGGGAACAAUGCAUUCAACAAUGAUUUUGUCAUUUUCGGAGUCUGGUGGAAGGCUUGCAAGUGCCCAUCUGCCUUUUUCAUGCAGAGUCCAGGUGUCAUUCCUCAUUUGAAGCUCACGUGGUAAAACCUGCGCUCCAUUGGAGUCAGCAGAGUGCAGAGGGCUGGAAGUCAACAAGCAAGCAGAAAGCAAGAAGGUUGUGUCAUGGGAAGUAAUCCACUCCCAGUCCCUAAUGCAAUGUCUUCAUCUGAUCAUUCUUCUGAGAAGAUUUAGUUGACACUUCCAUCCCACACCUCCUGGUAAGAAUAUCAUUUAAUGUUCCACUAGCAAAG